rnacentral:tRNA from 1 species
AAAUAAGAAGCAAAGCUUGCAUUUAGUUUCGACCUAAAAAUUUGAUCUAUGAUCCUUAUUUA